AUAUCCCGAAGGUUGCGCGCUUGCUUGCUUGCCUUGCUUGCGUGUUUUCCGACGGAUGCUUUUAUUAGACCAAACUGCUGGGGACUUGGGCUUCGUGCUCUCGUUCGACUCGUGUGAUGGUGACUCUGGAUAACCAAUUUUGACAAGCGCACGUACUCCUCUUCUGAGCGAGACGGCGCUGCCACUUUCGAGUGUCUGCCUUAUCAGCUAUCAACCGUUCGUUAUGCGCGACCGAUGGCUUUGACGGGUAACGGGGAAUCAGGGUUCGAUUCCGGAGAGGCAGCCUGAGAGACGGCUACCACGUCCAAGGACGGCAGCAGGCACGCAAAUUACCCAAUCCCAGCAAAUGGGGGAGGUAGUGACGAAAUCUAACGAUGCGGGCGCCCUUUUUGGGGCCCCGCAAUCGGAAUGGGCACUUUCUAAACAACCUGUUGAGAACCUACUGAAGGGCAAGUCUGGUGCCAGCAGCCGCGGUAAUUCCAGCUUCAGCAGCAUCUAUUAAAGUUGCUGCGGUUAAAAGGCUCGCAGUUGAAUGUCUGUAUCGAGCGCAGGUCAGGUGGACGUUGGGGCGUGGGAACACGGGCCCUGUGUCUUGGUGUGGGUGCGUGUGCGGCAACGUGCGCGUGCUUCCUCUCGAUGCUGCGGUUCUCCCACACACCCCCGUCCGUAACAAGCCUCCUCGCUCGGGUACAUAACGGGAAUCGUUAACACUCGUGUGAUGUGGGGUGUGUCGCGUUCGUGUGCGCGCGCCGGGGUUUCGGCCUCUCGUGUGUGUGCGCGUUCGUUUCACGCUAAGCCCUGCUCACGCACAGCUCGGUUUCACGGUCACCUUGAGUAAAUCAGAGUGCUCAAAGCAGUCGUAGGGGUCUUGUACCCUGUGAACAGUCUUGACGGACUGACUUGGUUUUGCAUGGCAUGUCGUAAGACGACGUCGUGUGCUGGCUCAGAGUGACAAUCAGUGGUGCAAGCCAGCCUCGACGUAAUGAUUAACAGGGACGGUCGAGGGCAUUGGUAUUGCGAGGCGAGAGGUGAAAUUCUGUGACCCCCGCAAGACCUCCUGAAGCGAAAGCGUCUGCCAAGGACGUUUUCAUUAAUCAUGAACGAAAGUUAGAGGAUCGAAGGCGAUCAGAUACCGCCCUAGUUCUAACCCUAAACGAUGCCAACCAUCAAUCCGCGCGUAGCACCCUUCCUAACGGGCUCGGCGGGCAGCUCCCCACUCACGGGAAACCAGAGUCUCUGGGUUCCGGGGGGAGUCUGGUUGCAAAGCUGAAACUUAAAGGAAUUGACGGAAAGGCACCACCAGGCGUGGAGCCUGCGGCUUAAUUUGACUCAACACGGGCCAUCUCACCAGGCCAGCACUCUUGAACGAUUGACAGAUUGAGAGCUCUUUCUCGAUUCAGUGGAUGGUGGUGCAUGGCCGUUCUUAGUUGGUGGAGUGAUCUGUCUGGUUAAUUCCGAUAACGAACGAGACUCUCCCCUGCUAACUUAUCGGUUGGAUCUUGAUUCAUGUGAGUUGCGUGCCGGGUAACGGCGUGCGUGUCUCCUCUGGGGGCGCUUGUCGGGUGUCUCGCUGGUGUGCUCCUCGCGGGUGUGCUGGUUUGCCCUGGCUUGUCGGUUCCCUUGGUGUUCGUGCGUGCUGCCUCGGAUCACUGCACUCCAAGUCCGCCGCUUAUGCUAUAACUCUUCUUAGAGGGAUUCACGGCACUGAAGCCGUAAGAGACUGAGAGCAAUAACAGGUCUGUGAUGCCCUUAGAUGCUCUGGGCCGCACGCGCGCUACAAUGCCGGGCACAGCAGGCGUUUCCCCUGCUCCGACAGGAGCGGGUAACCCUCUGAAAGCCAAUGAUACUUAAAUCUCGUGCACUCGUUGCGCGAGAUCCAGGCGUGCUUGGGCCUGGGACUUGCAAUUCUUUCCCACCAACGAGGAAUGCCUAGUAGCGGCGGGUCACUGAGCCCGCUGUGACUCAGUCCCUGCCCUUUGUACACACCGCCCGUCGCUACUACCGAUUGGGUGUACCAGUGAGAGCCUUGGACUGGCGGCCGUUGCCACUUCUUGUG
rnacentral:rRNA from 1 species